CUGUAGCUCAGCUGGAUAGAGCGUCUGGCUACGGACCAGAAGGUCGGGGGUUCGAAUCCCUCCAGG
rnacentral:tRNA from 1 species